UACGGAGGGGGCUAGCGUUGUUCGGAAUUACUGGGCGUAAAGCGCACGUAGGCGGCUUUGUAAGUUAGAGGUGAAAGCCCAGGGCUCAACCCUGGAAUUGCCUUUAAGACUGCAUCGCUUGAAUUGUGGAGAGGUAAGUGGAAUUCCGAGUGUAGAGGUGAAAUUCGUAGAUAUUCGGAAGAACACCAGUGGCGAAGGCGACUUACUGGACACAUAUUGACGCUGAGGUGCGAAAAGCGUGGGGGAGCAAACAGG
rnacentral:rRNA from 1 species